rnacentral:rRNA from 1 species
AUGGAACAGCCUUCAGCUUCACCUGCAACUAACAACGCUAUAAGAGGGGCUGAUCAAAGCGGUAACUUAGCCAAACAAUGGUUUGCUAGGAAAGGUGGGUUAGAGGCUUCACAUGGCAAUAUGGGAGGCAUGAUAAACAAGUGGGAGGAACGAGGCAGUAUGAGCCUGCGGGAGGUGGUCGCCGGCGGCAAGGUCCCAGCGAGCAGGCGGUCAACGCAUGAGGCACGGUCGGGAGCUUCUCGCCCGAACCAAAACGAGCAUGGAGGUAGGUGA